AGGCCCUAUGGUGUAACCACGUUAGAUUGCAAAUCUUAAGAGGCAGACUAAACCCUGCUGGGGCUUUCC
rnacentral:tRNA from 1 species